rnacentral:rRNA from 1 species
AAUCAACGCUGGCGGCGCGCUUAACACAUGCAAGUCGAGCGAGAAAGGGGAGCAAUCCCUGAGUACAGCGGCGUACGGGUGAGUAACACGUGGGUGAUCUACCUUCUAGUGUGGAAUAACCCUGGGAAACCGGGGCUAAUACCGCAUAAGCCUGUGAAGGGAAAGCAGCAAUGCGCUGGAAGAGGAGCCCGCGGCCGAUUAGCUAGUUGGUGAGGUAACGGCCCACCAAGGCGAUGAUCGGUAGCCGGCCUGAGAGGGCACACGGCCACACUGGCACUGAAACACGGGCCAGACUCCUACGGGAGGCAGCAGUGGGGAAUCUUGCACAAUGGAGGCAACUCUGAUGCAGCGACGCCGCGUGAGCGAUGAAGCCC